rnacentral:misc_RNA from 1 species
GAUGAAGAACGCAGCGAAAUGCGAUACGUAAUGUGAAUUGCAGAAUUCAGUGAAUCAUCGAAUCUUUGAACGCACAUUGCGCCUGCCAGCACUCUGGCAGGCAUGCCUGUUCGAGCGUCAUUUCAACCAUCAAGCCCUAGGCUUGCGUUGGAGCCCUGCGGCUGCCGCAGGCCCCUAAAAGCAGUGGCGGGCUCGCUAUCACACCGAGUGCAGUAGAUUACUCUUCGCUCAGGGCGUGUGGCGGGUUCCAGCCGUGAAACCCCCUACUUCUCCAGGUUGACCUCGGAUCAGGUAGGAAUACCCGCUGAACUUAAGCAUAUCAAUAAGCGGAGGA